rnacentral:rRNA from 1 species
UACGGAGGGUGCGAGCGUUAUCCGGAAUUACUGGGUUUAAAGGGUGCGUAGGCGGGCAGGUAAGUCAGUGGUGAAAUCUCCGAGCUUAACUCGGAAACUGCCGUUGAUACUAUUUGUCUUGAAUAUUGUGGAGGUAAGCGGAAUAUGUCAUGUAGCGGUGAAAUGCUUAGAUAUGACAUAGAACACCAAUUGCGAAGGCAGCUUACUACACAAUUAUUGACACUGAGGCACGAAAGCGUGGGGAGCAAACAGG